CACAGUCUGACUCAGUGACUCAUGUGCUGGCAGUGGCCACGUAAAUAGAGCUACUGUGUCUGAAAGCAAU
ensembl:miRNA MIR4276 microRNA 4276